GGGGUUGGGGAUUUAGCUCAGUGGUAGAGCGCUUGCCUAGGAAGCGCAAGGCCCUGGGUUCGGUCCCCAGCUCC
rnacentral:tRNA from 1 species